UACGUAGGUGGCAAGCGUUGUCCGGAAUUAUUGGGCGUAAAGCGCGCGCAGGCGGUUCUUUAAGUCUGAUGUGAAAGCCCACGGCUCAACCGUGGAGGGUCAUUGGAAACUGGAGAACUUGAGUACAGAAGAGGAAAGCGGAAUUCCACGUGUAGCGGAUGAAAUGCGUAGAGAUGUGGAGGAACACCAGUGGCGAAGGCGGCUUUCUGGU
rnacentral:rRNA from 1 species